UACCAGCUCUCCGAGUGGUAGGGAUGAUUAUUGGGCUUAAAGCGUCCGUAGCCGGCUUAGCAAGUCUCCUGUUAAAUUCAGCGACCUAAUCGUUGAGCCGCGGGAGACACUACUAGGCUAGGAGGCGGGAGAGGCCGACGGUAUUCUCGGGGUAGGGGUGAAAUCCUAUAAUCCCGGGAGGACCACCAGUGGCGAAGGCUGUCGGCUAGAACGCGCUCGACGGUGAGGGACGAAAGCUGGGGGAGCGAACCGGAUUAGAUACCCGGGUAGUCCCAGCUGUAAACGAUGCGGGCUAGGUGUUGGGGUGGCUACGAGCCACUUCAGUGCCGCAGGGAAGCCAUUAAGCCCGCCGCCUGGGGAGUGCGGCCGCAAGGCUGAAACUUAAAGGAAUUGGCGGGGAGCACCACAAGGCGUGAAGCUUGCGGUUC
rnacentral:rRNA from 1 species